UACGUAGGGUGCAAGCGUUAAUCGGAAUUACUGGGCGUAAAGCGUGCGCAGGCGGUUGUGCAAGACGGAUGUGAAAUCCCCGGGCUUAACCUGGGAAUUGCAUUCGUGACUGCACGGCUAGAGUGUGUCAGAGGGGGGUAGAAUUCCACGUGUAGCAGUGAAAUGCGUAGAUAUGUGGAGGAAUACCGAUGGCGAAGGCAGCCCCCUGGGAUAACACUGACGCUCAUGCACGAAAGCGUGGGGAGCAAACAGG
rnacentral:rRNA from 1 species